GAGACUCAUGGAGCUUUCGAUUUUAAAAUCUCCAUCCUCAAGUUUUUCAUUUCUCACCACUUGCCAGAAAUCAUCAUUUAUGAUGGCAUUUACGUGGUGUUUUCCUUUGUCGGCUCCUGCCUCUCUAGCGAAAGCUUCUUGCCUCUUUAUAGUCUCGCCCGUCUGAAUUACUUGGGUUUCAAGUUUUCUCACAUGAGUCCCUAAGGUCUCGAUUUUGGUGUUCAGAUU
rnacentral:lncRNA from 1 species